ACUUGGAUUGGCUGUAAGGAGCAAGGUAGCCCGCAGAGACCGCUCCUUCCCCCGGAUCAGUCCCGUCAGUGGAGCGCGAGGCGCACACACACACACACACACACACACACACUCACGCACACUCACUCACACACGCGCAGCUCACGCACGCGCUGGUCGACACGCGUGAAAGGUGCGACGCAGAGUGGACUCACCGGAGGACUCUGGUAGUGUGCGCUGGACUUAAACGGAGCAUGAAUCUGUCAUCAAGACAUCGAUCCUCGCCUCUAGACAAACCAAGUGAACCUUUCAGGGGGAAAUCACACGCGGGCACAUUUUAAUGCCACAUCCUCCGCGCACGGAGGGCGAUGCACUCGCCUCUUGUUCUUCAGGCUGCCACCGUUUCUACAUGACUGCAUGAACUCAGCGCUGGAUAAAUAUAUAUAUAUAUAUAUAUAUAUAUAUUUUCUGCAGAGACAUUUGUUGUUGUUUUUUGUUGUUGUUGUUGUUUUCUCCUCUCGGUAGUUUUUUUGUUUUGUUAUUUUUGACGGGUUGGAGAUUCCGCGCAACAGAGAGCGGCGGCAGCGCGCGUGUUUGAGCGCAACCUCCCAGUGACUCGGUCGGAGUUUGACUCCCCAUCAUGGGCCACGGUGCGCACACCGCCGGAGAGGGACGAGGAGCGCCCGAGAUGCGGACUGCGUCUUGGCUUUUGGUUAUCCUCCUGAUGGACGUCGGCCUGGCUCAAGCGCAGCGCGGAGAGCGCCGCAGUCUUGCAAGCUACUUCAUAGCAAGCCGAGUCCUAACAUGAAACCGCGCGAUGAGAGGAGCUCAUGCAGAGGGCCAGAAAUGUAGGGCCGAACAUGCUCCGACUGCAGUUGGAAGGUGUGAGAAAAUCCUAACCUCUUCUCAGUUGUUGCGUACCCAUGGCGCCGAGAAGCGGCACUGCUCAAGAAUUGAGAGAUGAAUUAAAGAAAAAAAGUUGAACAUUUUGGGUAAUGUGCUUUUUUUUGUUUGUAAUUAAGUAUUGAUUCUACUCUCGGAUUUGUAAGCACAGCAUGAAGCCGCUGUGAGCGGCGCUUAGCUUAGCUUAGCACAAAGAAUGUAGAAAGGGGGAAACAUUUACCUCUGUCUAAAGGUAACAAACAACCCUGUAGAAGGGAAAUGGCGCUGGUAGAUUUCCUUCAACCAGAUAUUUUUACCCAGUAACUGAGGGAAAUUAAGAAAAUCUGACCGACAGUGAAUACUGUACAUAAACCACGUGCAUUGAAACGACACAAAGAGGCGUCUCUGAGAACUGCAUCCACAACACACUGCCGCUUUGAUAGGUGA
ensembl:lncRNA